rnacentral:rRNA from 1 species
GGACUGCAGUCUGCAACUCGACUGCACGAAGCUGGAAUCGCUAGUAAUCGCAAAUCAGAAUGUUGCGGUGAAUACGUUCCCGGGUCUUGUACACACCGCCCGUCACACCAUGGGAGCCAGGAAUGCCCGAAGCCAGUGGCCUAACCGCAAGGGAGGAGCUGUCGAAGGCAGGCCCGGUAACUGGGGUGAAGUCGUAACAAGGUACC